CAAAGUCCUUCCUGACCCCUUUCCCACAGUCUCUUUCGACUGGGGCAAGAGGCAACGUGCAAACUCAGCCCCUCUGGAAUGGAGGGAACUGAAAAAACUGAGCUCCUCAAUUGAAUUUCAAAAACAUUCAUUUUGGAAGAAUCAACAUAGUUUGGAUAUUCCCACCACUCAGCUGCCUAGGGAGACCGAAAUGGAAAGUGCCAUGCCUGUUGCCGCCAGCGCGCCUCUCAGCCUGCCCUGCCCCAUCUGUUGCAGGCAGAAAAGCAGCGCCCGCAUUUGGAACCAAUUCCAGGAAAAAGAAAUACUAAAGAGUGGCAAAGUGACAUGAGCAGUCCUCCCUCCCCUUGCUCUGACCAUCCCUGCUACAGUGAACAGCAACAGCUUGAGUUUUCACUGCUCAGAGGAACCACAGGUCUGCAACUGAGCCCAAGAUCCAUGAAGAAAUAAAUAGUUAUAACCUUUGAACAGCUUGAAAAAUUUAGAAGAGUAAUUUGGGAGGAGUUUCACCUUUGUGGCAUCUAAUAGAGACAGCCUCGGGUUUCACUUGGCCAUAUCAUGAUGACAAGGUAAACUUAUUCUUUGCCGUAUACCUAUGACUUAUUCAUGAUUUUGCUCACUGAGGCUGAAUUUUCCUGUUGUACCAGAGUGAACAGUAUGUGCUAUGUGUAUAUCUGCACUGUAUUCACAGAGGUGCCACACUCUGUUUAAUAUCACCCUUCCAUAUUUGAUUCUCUCUCUAUCUAUAUAUCUCUAUAUAUGAAGUGCUAUUUUUCCUACAAAAAGAGGUGUCGGAACUCACCAUGAACUCUUGUUCUCUUGUAAUGGCAAUGGCGCCCACCCAAGAGAUGCUAGAAUUGAAUUCUGGUGAGUUCCAGCCGAAAAAUAGCCCUGUAUAUAUUACCUUUUAAAAACCAUGUUGCCGUAUUUCCUUAAGACUUCUUACAAUGUAGAAAAUAUGUGCAAUGGGCACAUGAGAACAAAUAAU